AAACGGUCGCGAUAAGCAACAGUAUGCGCUGGGGAUGUGCACGAAGCCUCUGAAUCGGG
rnacentral:rRNA from 15 species